CGACGCCUCCCGACCAUCCUCCCAACGACUAGCGUCAGGCACCCCAGCCUCGGGCGCCGCGAAGCUAUUAGCCCCGUGGACGCGGCGGCGGCGGCGGCUCCGGCUGCCACACCAACACAGACAGGCAAUGGCUAGGCAAGGCGCAAGAAGAGGAGGGGAAGUCGAAAAUAAUUUAGCAGCGGAAGCGGAAGCAGCAGCACGAGGUGGGUGGGGCAGCGGCAGCGGGGUGAGAUUUUUUUCGUUCCUCUCUUCGCUUUGCUUCUCUGCACGCGAUCGAUUGCCGGACUGGUUGCGAGGGGGGAGCUCGUGCGCUCAGCGGCGGGCGAGGAUUCGUGGUGGGAUAGCCACCGUAUACCGCCGUCUACGGGGAAUUUCCGGGGGCGGAUGGGCGCUAGUACCCGCAGUGCAGCGCCCGAAAUCUGGGGUUCGAGGCGAGAAUUCUGCUCGGGUUUGGUUGUGCUAGCCGUUUCGAUCUGGGUUGGUUUGUUUUGGUUUGCGACAAGUUUUUGCUUAGGGUUCAAUUCAAUCCGUCCGCGGGGAGCGUAGUUUAGUUCUGGGGGUUUAUGCCUUGCCCAAUCUAAUUGUCUUCCACCUUACCCAAACUCUACCAAGAAAGCCCCCAAAAUGUUUCAUUUUUCUUUUCUUCCCAUGUGUGAUGUUUUGAUCAUAAACAUAAACGUAAGGAUGGUUGUGGAAAUCCAUAUGUUUAUCACCGUUUGCUUCCUCCAGCAGCGCUAUUACCGUUUGCUUCUCUUCCCAUGUGCUAGCCGUUUGCUUCUCUAGCGGCGCUAUUACAGUUUAGGUCUGGUAGGCGCGCUAGGUGGUAGCAAUCUACGCCUUUGCUUCCUCCAGCAGCGCUAUUACCGUUUGCUUUGUCCCGUUGCUUACAUGUGUGUUUAUGUUCUCGUCACCUUGGGUUGGGUCGGUGGAACAUAUGGAUGGUUGGUGGAAAUCCAGCCCAGCAAAAGUACUCCAUGGUAUUAGUUGUUGGAGUGAUUAUUAUUUUUUCUACAAUUAGGGCUGGUUUGGCAGCCCAAAAUCCCACCAGUUUUCUGGCCUUUUCUAUGGGGAUAAAGCCCACCUUAAUAUUUUUCUUGGUUUUAUCCAUCUGUGUGUUUGGAAGACCAUCUUUCGACAAACAUUUGUCCGGGAGAGGCCUUUUUCCGGUUGGAAAUUGCCCCGGUCUCAGUAGGCCAGGCGAUUCUUCGUUCUCUGAUGCCAUCCCGGCGACGCCCCGGCUCCCAGCGACUCUAACCCUAGCCUCUCGAGCUCCUCCCCAACGCCAUCGCUCGUCCGCCAUCGCCACGAGCUCCUCCGCCGUUGUCGUCGCUCGUCCCCAUGAGCUCCCCAUCCCCACGGCUCCCAACGACUCUCCAUCUAGCAAAGCAGUACAUAAAGGUAACAGCCACCUGAUCCUCCAUCCCCACGAGCUCGUCUGUCGUCUCCACCUAAUCCACAUCGAGCUCUCCGACGUCGUCCCCUUCCACUCGACAAGGGACCUUCCUUCCUGAUACAGGAAGGCAGGGUUCAUGAGUGGCGGCACGCCUGCAGCAAGCAGUAGCCUGCGGACAUCACUCUCAUACUACGUGAGGCAAGUCCGCGCCUAUGACUACCACCACUACCUCUGCCUUCUCCACCUGGCCCCGGCCGUGCGCAAGGCCGCGUUCACCUUCCGCACCUUCAACAUCGAGACAGCAAGGGCCAUGGAUGUGGUGUUCGACCCCCGAGCCGGCCUCAUGCGCCUCCUCUGGUGGAAGGAGGGGGUCGACAAGAUCUUUGGCAACAAGCUAGUCGAGCACCCAGUUGCCCAGGCGCUCUCUUCGAUCAUCGCAGACCACAAGGUUAGCAAGCACUGGCUGAAGCGGUCCGUGGAGGCGAGGAUCAACGACGCCAACCGUGAGGAAGGCACCAUUCCUAGGACGAGCGCGAAGUUGGAGAGGUAUGUGGAGGACACCCAGUCCACCAUCCUUUACAUGACCUUGCAGGCUGGCGGAAUACAGUCCACCGUGGCUGACCACGCCGCCUCUCACAUCGGCAAGGCCAGCGGGCUUCUGUUACUGCUCAAGGCGCUGCCGCACCAUGUAAAUAAUCAAGGGACGGUACAUUAUAUCCCAGCUAGUGUGGCCGAGGAAUGCGGCCUGCUCAUCACACGGGAGGGCGGCAGGUCGGAGGUCAGGGCAGGCGAGAGGCUGCUAGACGUAGUUUUCAAGGUCGCAUCUGUUGCGGAGGCUCACCUGCAUAAGGCGCGAGAGUUGGCACCGUCCGUGCCCAAAGAGGCGAUCCCUAUGCUCCUCCCAGCCUUGCCGGCCCAGGUCCUCCUGGAUACCCUGCGAAGGUGAGUUCAACGUGUUUGAUCCUUGGCUGUCGAGGGGAGUCCACGGGGUCUCUCCUCUGUGGUACCAGCUGAAGCUUAACUGGAACGCGCGGCGAAGCAGGUACUAAUGAGGAGGAGGAACCUUUUGCCCUCAGCCAUGGGAGCUGUUGCUGUUCCUUGUAGCAAAAAGCUUUUUAUUGGGGGUUUUUGACAUAGCAGAGAUUGAAUAACUACUUGCGGCAGAUUUGAAGCUGUUAGGGUUUAGGGUUAUUCAAUUGUGCCAUGGGAGCUGUUGCUGUUCCUUGUAGCAAAAAGCUUUUUAUUGGUGUUUUUUGACAUAGCAGAGAUUGAAUAACUACUUGCGGCAGAUUUGAAGCUGUUGAAU